rnacentral:rRNA from 1 species
UGUCGACUAGUCGUUCGGAGCAGCAAUGCACUGAGUGACGCAGCUAACGCGUGAAGUCGACCGCCUGGGGAGUACGGCCGCAAGGUUAAAACUCAAAGGAAUUGACGGGGACCCGCACAAGCGGUGGAUGAUGUGGAUUAAUUCGAUGCAACGCGAAAAACCUUACCUACCCUUGACAUGUCUGGAACCUUGCUGAGAGGCGAGGGUGCCUUCGGGAGCCAGAACACAGGUGCUGCAUGGCUGUCGUCAGCUCGUGUCGUGAGAUGUUGGGUUAAGUCCCGCAACGAGCGCAACCCUUGUCACUAGUUGCCAUCAUUUAGUUGGGCACUCUAGUGAGACUGCCGGUGACAAACCGGAGGAAGGUGGGGAUGACGUCAAGUCCUCAUGGCCCUUAUGGGUAGGGCUUCACACGUCAUACAAUGGUCGGUACAGAGGGUUGCCAAGCCGCGAGGUGGAGCUAAUCCCUUAAAGCCGAUCGUAGUCCGGAUCGUAGUCUGCAACUCGACUACGUGAAGUCGGAAUCGCUAGUAAUCGCAGAUCAGCAUUCUGUC